CGGAAGGGGUGCAUCUUAAGGGGUAUAGUUACAUAAUAAGGUAAUGAGUACAUUUCUUGUCUUAUUUGUUACACCCUCGUUUUUCUUUCCCUUCCCUAGUUCAGGUAAGCGUAUAUACUAUAUCCAGUGUAACAAAAUCACAUACAGUAACCAAGUAGGGUACACCAAAGGAAAUUCACCUAGAACAUUAAACGUAACAACAACAAUAGAAUCCUCCUGUGUCCUUGUCUUGGAGUUCUUUUUGCUUAUCCUUGUCUUAUAUGAUCAUGUGUAC